rnacentral:lncRNA from 1 species
ACGCCGGCGUGAGAGGGCACGGGGAAAAAGGUGGCUCUGGCCGGGGCGGCUCUGUUUCCUGGGGUUAUGUAGCAGGGCUUGUCGGCUCGCGAGACCUCCCGCUGCCCUCGCCCGUGUCCUAGCGCGGGGUUUCUGCUCCGGGCGGAGGCCGUGUUCAAGCCCGCCGCGCUCCCUCGACGUAGAGCUCGCUCGUCCGCCCGUGGGAGCGUCCCGGCCGAGCUGCGCUGAGGGGGGAGGGGAGGCCAUUUUGUCCCGACCGACUCCCCGGAACCGGGCGGAGCGGCUGGGAGAGGCUGCGGAGCCGCGGGCGCCGCCCCUCGGAGGCACGGGCGCCGCCACCGUCGGGGCUUCCUCGACGAGGCCGUUCGGAAGGUCUCCUGCUCCGUCUCGAGAGCUGCUUUCUCCUUCCGCACACGCUACCCGGCUGCUGCGGCCCCAGAACGCCCGGGUGAGGAGUUGGUUGUAGUGAGCAGUUCCGAUCCCUUGGGGCUACCGGCGGCGAGCGCCCGAGCCGCUCCUCCCAAUGGCGAAGAAGACGUACGACCUGCUUUUCAAGCUGCUCCUGAUCGGGGACUCGGGAGUGGGCAAGACCUGCGUCCUUUUUCGUUUUUCGGACGAUGCCUUCAAUACCACCUUUAUUUCCACCAUAGGUAAGACCUGUGGGAGGAUGGUGUGGGGGCUCUGUAGCCGCGAGCCGUUUUCUUUUAUUCCAGACAUCUUGCUUCCCGGAAUUUACGCCUUUGUUCCAGUGAUUCCGAUUCCAGACGACAGACCUAAGUUACUGUUGGAAUCGGAAUAGCCUUACUGGGGCGGGGUCUUCCCAUGCUUACCAUCCGGUCUCAAGUCUCCUUCUCUGUUCGGUGCCUUCUGGCACAAAAUAUGCAGCAUUUAGCAGCGUUCCAGAAUCCGGUUUCUUUAAGUGACUUGCCUGGCCUUACCAUAAUUGCAUGAAGUUACUUGAUGUGCUAUUUGUAAUAGACGUAAUUUAGUGGUUGGGAUUGAAGCAGUACUGGCUAUGUGGCAAAGGCCCGAAUUGGGGGUCAAAGAGAAAAUAUUCUAUCUGACUGUAACUUGGAGUAAACUUGAGAGUUGCAGAAUCAUUAAGGAAAAUGAGAGGGGCGGGGGAAAGUGAGUUGGCUGUCUUGACUGAACCAUUGAUGUGUCAAACAAUCGGAGGCCCUUCGUGCUUGGGGUGGGAAUCUGGCAUGGUUGGCUCACAGUGCUUUUUCAAGACCUCAACGAAGCAGAUGGACGGUUUCUGUUUUCAACCCAAUGGAAUCAAGUCAAGUUCUAAUGUUUUACUUGAUGUUAGAAUUUACAGGAAAAUCUUUCGUCAGUCAUGGCUCUAAGGACUUCUAAUGUACUACCACAUAUUUCGGAAUUACUUGGUAUGGAAAUAAAAACUGACCUUUUAAAUGGGUUUCCUGUUUCGGAAAUGAAAAGGGAAGGUUUCAAGAAAGUCGUUUUGACGCUGGCACCAACAUCAAUUUUGUCAAAGUAACUGUACAUGACCACCCCCCUCCCUGGUUUUUUAAAGUAUCCGGUGUCUUUCAUUUUUGAACCUCAGCUCCGGCAUUAGAGCAGUGCAGGAAAACUUGUGAUAAAUGUAACUAGCUUCACGAUGAGAAGCGACUCUAGUGGUUUUCCUUAAGAAUUGUGAAAAUCUUGUUUUAACCAAUUUAUAGUAUAGGAUUUCCUUAAGACAUAUUUGUAAGUAGCUUAAGCAUAUUUUCGCAAAAUAUGCUUAAGUUAUACUGCAAUUAAGAUGAGCAAAUUUUUAUUUAAAAUAGGUUGUUUUACCUUACUGGUGGGCAGGAUUGUCAAAAUAUCACGAAGCUUGAACUUGUCCUCUGCUUAGUGGGUUAGCACUUACACAGCACUAAGUUUGCUUUGAAGUGUAGCUGGGUCAGUCAGGUGGCUAGAUCAGCAAAUAUUUAUUGAGCACCAAGUUCUAGGCACUGUUAAAAGCGUUGAAAAUAAGUGGUCGAUACAAUAGACCCCUUGAGCAUUCUGAUAAAGAAGGCAACAACAGUGUGCAAAGCACUAGAGUGAGGAGAGGGAGGAAGGGGAGUAGUCUGAAUUAUGGGGAAUCUGCUUUGCAUGGAUGUUUAAAACGUAGUCUGAAAGACAAGUAUGAAUUGGAUCAGAGGAGAGGUAGCCUCUUUGAAAGAGAAUUUAGUGUGCGAUCCUUUUUUUUUUAACCUGCUCUUGAGAACGGGUAGGUGAAAGUAGGAAGUAAAGUUUCCUGGUGAAGAAAGCUACUUAGCCCCCCAGCUGCCUGUCCUCAGGUACUGGGCAUUGACUAACCUCAUGCGUGGUAGGCAAGCUGCUGAGUUACACCUCCAGUCCUCCUUGUAUCCAUAGUCUUCAUUGUCCUUUGACUUAGGGAGAUGGGUUGUUUCCCAUGCAGCCUGCUGUUUUGAAUUCCUGGCUCCACAGGAAUUGCAACUUUGGCUACAGUGUCUUAUUCGACAGUGCAAAUGCCAUGUAUGGUGCUUGUGAGGAUUAAUACAGGUCAGCGAGAGCAAAGCACCUAACAAUGGUGCCAGGUACUUUGUAGGAACACAGUGCAGAUUUGUGCAGAAUAUAUGGCCUUCCUGAUACUGGUGUGUGACAGAAUAAGUUGCUUUAUGGAUUGAAUAUGUCUUGUGUGUAAUGGCUGCUUGAAUAUCUGUUGGUGCUCUGCUAAACAAUUAUACAAUAACCUCUGACAUUUAUACAUUUUGAUAUAAAAACAUUUGAUGUUUUGACACAAGAUUUGAAUAAAGUAAGCUAAGAAAAUGAACAAAAUUCUGACAAUUCUUAGUCCAGCUCAUACUUGACUCUUUGCAGAUUUUGAAUUCUGUUAGCCUCAUAAACUUUGGUAGUC